GAAAUGCGAUAAGUAAUGUGAAUUGCAGAAUUCAGUGAAUCAUCGAAUCUUUGAACGCACAUUGCGCCCGCCAGCACUCUGGCGGGCAUGCCUGUUCGAGCGUCAUUUCAACCCUCAGAACCCCUUGCGGGAUCUGGCGUUGGGGAUUGGCAUCCAGCCAGCCCCGAAAUCUAGUGGCGGUCCCUCCGCGACCUCCCCUGUGCAGUAGCGAUACCUCGCAGCGGGACAGCGGUCUGACCACGCCGUAAAACCCCCAACUUCUCAAGGUUGACCUCGAAUCAGGUAGGAAUACCCGAUGAACGUAAGCA
rnacentral:misc_RNA from 1 species